UCCUGGUUAGCUCAACUGGUAGUGCGCUCCACUCGAAAUGGAAAGGUCCCUGUUUCGAUUCGAGGACCAGGCG
rnacentral:tRNA from 1 species